rnacentral:rRNA from 1 species
CGAGCACGCGCGUGUGGGCAUAUCAAUAAGCGGAGGAAAAGAAACUAACAAGGAUUCCCUUAGUAACGGCGAGUGAAGCGGGAAGAGCUCAAAUUUGAAUCUUCAAGGUUCUACCUUGACGAAUUGUAGUUUAUAGAAGUGUUUUCUGUUAGUGGAGUGGCAAAAGUUCUUUGGAAUAGGACAUCAUAGAGGGUGAGAAUCCCGUAUUUGGUCAUUCCUCCUAGCGUUGUGAUACACUUUCAACGAGUCGGAUUGUUUGGGAAUGCAGUCCAAAAUGGGUGGUAAAUUUCAUCUAAAGCUAAAUAUUGGCGAGAGACCGAUAGCGAACAAGUACCGUGAGGGAAAGAUGAAAAGAACUUUGAAAAGAGAGUUAAACAGUACGUGAAAUUGUCAAAAGGGAAGCGUUUGACACCAGUGUUGUUUUUCCGAAAAUCAAUUACGAAUGUUUUAUUUUUGAGGAGUUAUGACUUCAUCGGCUUGCUCCUUUCUUUAUGGAAACUUUCUUAAUGCACUUUUCAGGUUAACAAGUCAACAUCAAUUUCUUUUGUUGUAAAAGGGUACUGAGGAAGGUGGCUUUCUUUCGGAGAAAGUGUUUAUAGCCUUGUACCUCUGCAAUCGGAGAGAUUGAGGUCUGCAGCGUAGAUCCUUCUGGAUUAGAUACAUUUGUGCUAAGUUAUAGCUUUUCAUAGACAACUUGUUGACUAUGUUAAGUCUUGUAGCUUACUCGCUUAUGCUAUUUUACCUACGCUUAGGAUGUUGAACUCUAUCACACACAG